GGAAGGAUUGUCCAGCUGUACGGGAAGAGGCAGAAAUGAAGGAGUGAGUCUGAGGCCUGACCAUUGAUGAGUGAUUGAUCAGCUCCAUGGAGGAGGCUGGUGGCAGCCCCACUUGGGGCUAUGUGGCCCCAGAGGCAACUGAGCCUCCUUGAUAUCUUGGUUUUACAAACAGGUUUCCCAAAUGGUUUGGGGAGUUUUCAGGGAGCGAAGGCGACAUGAUUGCAGAUCCAGACCCCCUUCAUUUUACAGGCAAUCGCAUUAAGCCACUGGAGCUAAUGCUCUGGGCAACCACCUGACUCUGGGAGAAACAGCAGCUCAAACAGCUGAAAGAUAUCCUGGCGGGGGAAGAGGGAGGACCUCAUUGACUUGGGGGCUGCCUGAGAUAGAGGGAAAGUACACGGAAGCCCAAGGCUCCAAAUCUAGGACCUCGCAGAGGAAGAGAACGUUCUGGCUCGGACCCUAGGCUCUGACACUUGUCGACAAGUAAGGUUACCUGCCUUUUCUUCA
rnacentral:lncRNA from 1 species